CAUGCAGUCGUGCGGACUUUUUAAAAGCUUGCUUCUAAAAAGUUAGCGGCGGACGGGUGAGUAACACGUGGGCAACCUGCCUGUAAGAUCGGGAUAACGCCGGGAAACCGGGGCUAAUACCGGAUAGUUUUUUCCUCCGCAUGGAGGAAAAAGGAAAGACGGCUUCGGCUGUCACUUACAGAUGGGCCCGCGGCGCAUUAGCUAGUUGGUGGGGUAACGGCUCACCAAGGCAACGAUGCGUAGCCGACCUGAGAGGGUGAUCGGCCACAUUGGGACUGAGACACGGCCCAAACUCCUACGGGAGGCAGCAGUAGGGAAUCUUCCGCAAUGGACGAAAGUCUGACGGAGCAACGCCGCGUGAGUGAAGAAGGCCUUCGGGUCGUAAAACUCUGUUGCCGGGGAAGAACAAGUGCCGUUCGAACAGGGCGGCGCCUUGACGGUACCCGGCCAGAAAGCCACGGCUAACUACGUGCCAGCAGCCGCGGUAAUACGUAGGUGGCAAGCGUUGUCCGGAUUUAUUGGGCGUAAAGCGCGCGCAGGCGGUCCUUUAAGUCUGAUGUGAAAUCUUGCGGCUCAACCGCAAGCGGUCAUUGGAAACUGGGGGACUUGAGUGCAGAAGAGGAAAGCGGAAUUCCACGUGUAGCGGUGAAAUGCGUAGAGAUGUGGAGGAACACCAGUGGCGAAGGCGGCUUUCUGGUCUGUAACUGACGCUGAGGCGCGAAAGCGUGGGGAGCAAACAGGAUUAGAUACCCUGGUAGUCCACGCCGUAAACGAUGAGUGCUAAGUGUUGGAGGGUUUCCGCCUUUCAGUGCUGCAGCUAACGCAUUAAGCACUCCGCCUGGGGAGUACG
rnacentral:rRNA from 1 species